rnacentral:lncRNA from 1 species
AGCACCUUUGUUCAGUUGCUGCCGUCGUCGCUAGUGCCGCCGGAGAGCCGCCGGAGCCACCGCCAGCAACCGUUCGAGCAGCCACCAUCCUUCCUCCGCCGUUCCUCCGCCCGAAUCGCCGCCGGACAGCUCUCCUCCGCCCAUGAUCAGUGGCUGGAAAAAUGGGUAUGGCAGCCCAUGUUUGGCCCGUUUUGGCCGCCUUCCCGAGCCCGGAUGCUCGGCCCGCUUUGAGGAAAGUCGAUCCUCGCGUUGUCCCCGUCGUUUUGGUCCGCUCGGCUCGCUAAUCCGGUGAGUUUAACUCACUAAAUCUUGAUUAGAGUGUUAAUGAUGCCCUAGGUGUGCUUAGUUUAAAUUAAGUAAUUUUAGGUGUGUGGAUUAGUGCAUUUAAUUAUAAAUUGGAUUAAGAUGUUGGUUUAUGUUAAAGUGUGUUUAAAUUAAAGGUUAAAAGAAGUUAUUUAAAGUUAAGCCUUGAUGUGACACAAAAUGAUUUUAGUUUUGAAUUAUUUAAGUGCUUCGAAAUUCUGGAAAAUAUUAUAUUAUAUUAUAAUCCGAAAUUAUUAAAAUAUUAUUAUUUAUAAAAAGAAAAUCAGAAAAAUUAUUUUUGAUCCCGGUUGCUCAGAAUUUUGUGCCGGUCGCUACGGUACAUUCGGAUUUUGAAAUUGAUGAUUGGAUAUUAUGAAUUGAGUGUGGAUUUCGAAAACUAUGGAUAUUAUUAUUUAAUUAAUUUUCGGAAUAAAUUUAAUUAUCUAUUAAAUUCCGAAAAUUUUCAUUGGGACCUUAUUUGCUCAAAAUUUCGUGUCGAUCGCUGCUGUGCAUUUAGAAUUUGAUAUUUAUGAUUGGUUGUGGCGAAUUGAAUGUGAUUUCGAUUUAUGAGGAUUCUUUAUAAAAUCCUAAAUGUGGAAAUUGAGGGGCGGUUGGUCGUGAAAUACCACCUAUUAGAGGUCGUGCCCGAUGAGGCCGUGAAAUACCACCUAUUAGAGGUCGUGCCCGAUGAGGCCGUGAAAUACCACCUAUUAAAGGUCGUGCCCGAUGAGGCCGUGAUAUACCACCUAUUAGAGGUCGUGCCCGAUGAGGCCGUGAUAUACCACUUAUUAGAGGUCGUGCCCGAUGAGGCCAUGAAAUACCACCUAUUAGAGGUCGUGCCCGAUGAAGCCGUGAAAUACCACCUAUUAGAGGUCGUGCCCGAUGAGGCCGUGAAAUACCACCUAUUAGAGGUCGUGCCCGAUGAGGCCGUGAUAUACCACCUAUUAGAGGUCGUGCCCGAUGAGGCCGUGAAAUACCACCUAUUAGAGGUCGUGCCCGAUGAGGCCGUGAAAUACCACCUAUUAGAGGUCGUGCCCGAUGAGGCCGUGAAAUACCACCUAUUAGAGGUCGUGCCCGAUGAAGCCGUGAAAUACCACUUAUUAGAGGUCGUGCCCGAUGAGGCCGUGAAAUACCACCUAUUAGAGGUCGUGCCUGAUGAGGCCGUGAAUUACCACCUGAUUACAGGUCGUGCCGAGUGGGGCCAUGAUUGCCACUGGUUACUAAAUCUUCCUAUCAGGUCGAGAUGGGUAGUGGUAAUUGAAUUGCUAGAGUGACAUGUAAUUGGCCGAGUUGAUUGAUCGCUGAGACGAUCCAAGUGGUUGAAUUGUUUGAUAAUGUGAUUGAGCCAUGGUUGUUUGGUUAUCAUAAUUGUACGUGGUUGAAUUAUAUAAAUUGUGCUAACCUGCAGAUGAAGGCUGAGGUGAGGUAAGUCUUCUGUGUGAUGUGGCUAGGCCACCCGGGGCGUAUAUUCUUUCUAAUAGGGGUUUAGGGGGUUGAACUUGCUGAAACAUCGUCUCAUCCUGGUUGUGGGAUUAAAAUUUCAGGUCCCCGGUGGACGGAGUGGCCAGAUAGCUUUGGUUGGCCUUGAGGAGUUGCAGAUGUGAAGUCGUAAGAUUGAAGAACGUGUCCGACUUGUAGGUCGUAGGACAAUUCAUUUUUAAGAGUCGGUCUUUUGUAGACUUUUGGCCGUAGACCUCUGUUUGUAACUCUGUUGAAUUAUG